rnacentral:lncRNA from 1 species
UGUGUACUUUGCAUUUGUAUAAGUUUCCAGCCUCUGUUCCUCUGGUCAGCAUGCAAAUGUGACAGAGUCCUCCUCCUCUGGGCCCAAGGCCCUGCUCUCUUCUCACUUUCUGCUCACUCACUUUAGCACUUUUUUUUUUUAAUACUAUUGAUGAUUGAACCCAGGGGCACUCUACCUCUGAGCCACAUCCCCAGCCUUUCUUAUUUUUUAUUUUGAGACAGGGUCUCACUGAGUUACUUAGGGCCUUGUCAAGUUGCUGGGGCUGCCCUAGAACUUGCAAUCCUCCUGAGUCGGCCGCCCAAGUUGCUGGGACUACAGCGAGCGCCACCCUGCCUGGCUUCCGCUGGGUUCUUGAGGUCAUUUUAGGUCAGGUCUAGGGUUCUGCACCUACAUGCUGAAAAACAGCUUGAACAGUUUUAGGAACAGGGAAAUUGCUGUUUUAUGGCCUGGUUUCACAUGCAUUAAAAAUAUAUUUUUGUGUGUGUCUGUGUGUAUGCGUUCACCCAUAUAGAAAGCACAGAGAUGGAUAUUAGUUUUAAAACCAGGCCAGAGAUGUAGCUCAGGAGUGG